GGGGGGGGGGGGAAGGGGGAUGGUGGCGCGUGUGCGCGCGCGCGGCCGUUUCACGUCGGUUAGGCUCGAGCGGGUUCCAUUGUGACCCGCCGGGCGAACCGCGCGGAGAGCCCGGAUAAUGACGUCAGCGCGGCUGCUGCCUUCUGGGCCCGGUCCGGCCUGGCCCGGCCCUCCCCUCCGCUCCGCCGCCGCCGCGCUGGGCCCCGUGGGGGUGGGGGCGGCGUGCUGGGGUCGCUCCGCUGGCGCGUCCCCUUGGGCCCGGCGGCGGCCUUUAAGCGGUGGCGAGCGGCGCCGCGCCGCCCUCGGGUUGCCGUGCGGGAGGCCCGGCGGACAAAGCCGGGGGGAGGAGGGCAGAGGCGCCCUCGCGGCCCGGGACGGGCCCGGGGUCUGCAGGGCCCUGGGCAAGCAGGGGGAGGGGCGGGGUUGCCCGCCGCGCGUGCGGCGGUUGCACCGGGCGGCGCUGCUGCGGCCGGGCCGUUCCCCGGGCCCCGGCCCCCCGUAGGCCUCGGGCCCGCCGGCGGACAGCGGGCUUUGGGCAGGGCCUGGGAGCUGGCAUGGACGGGCACAGGGACAGGGCUUCGUGCCUCGCCGCAGCGCUGCCUCCGGCAGAACGGAGACUGCUUAGGGGACACCGGCACUUAAAAAGCCACUUGGGUCUUUUAUUGCUCUUGUUCCUUACGUACAUAUGUGACUAUGAAUCAUAGUAGAGCCCUAGUCUGAGUAGGUACUCUAUGUAGCAAUCUGGGAGACAUUAAACCUGGAUUUAAAAUCUGGAAAAAUGGCAAAGCGCAUCUUGUGGAAGGACAGAAGUUUGGCAGACAUGGGGAACUUGAUCAAGAGAGUACCUGAAAUGGAGCUUAAUGUUUCAUUUUGUUUGUCUGUAUUCCAGGGUCAAAGUCUUGUUUCAACAUCAUCAUUCAAGAACUUCAGAGCAGGAAGUGAAAAGUACAGUAUCCAGGUGAAAACGCAGGAGGAAUUUAGCUUGCAUGGGUUGGAAUUUGCUCAAGAGGCUAGGGCUAACAGCCUUAACUCCUGUGCAAAAUGUUUAUCUUUUGGACCAUGCAGUGACAAAGACUAAAAUACUGCUUGCUCAUUGCAGGAGCUGUGGUUGUAUCAUGUGAGAAGGAAAUCUGAAGUAUAUGUCUGUGUUAACCACUCAGCGAACAAAACAAAGGAUGCAGCUGCUUCAUCACUGUACAAAUGCAACAGUUUAUUUACUGAAAGAAUAGGUUUACAUGCAUUUUCUUCAUCAACAAUAAAAACAAGCCAUACCCAUGGUGAAAAUCUGUGUAAAUGUAAGUCUGUUCAUGCUCAGGUUAGAAAUAUGUGCAAUCAUAGAAAGAGCAGCCCUUUUAUUUUAGUGAUUUUUCAUGCCUCUGAGCAUGUCAUUGUGGCCUCCUUUUUCCUUUUGUCCCUUAUGAAUUACUUUGGGCUUUCCCUGCUAUUUCCAAUUUAUCCAGUUUGUUUUCCUGGCAAAGCAUUUAAAAUUACUGCACCUAUAAUGCAUUGAACUUUACUUGCCUGCCUAAGUAUUCUCCCUUGAGAUCUGCACUGUUUAUGGUGACUCAGAGAGGCACAACAGCACUUCAGUUGUAGUUUUAUGUUUUCUGACGCUUCUUAUCCUUAAAAAUAAACUGUGUGUUUAAUGAUGGUCAUUUCUUUUUAUUAUUAAGUAGACCACUGUUUUAAUGACAGGACAAAUACUGUGUUCCUUCUAACUGCUUUGGCUUUUUUGGCAGAGCUGAACAGUGACACAUCAGUGGAUUUUUAUAAUGUGGGCAAUUGUCCACUGAGAAAUUGACUGUCAGUUCACAUAAAAGUCAAAAAAACCCAAAAACCCAACAACCAAAACUGAACAAUACUUACGGAAACAAUACUGGUACAACUUGUAGCAAGUAUUUCCUCUUGUGAAGAAGGAUUCCUUCAGCCAAGAGAAAGAGUAGAAGCUCUGAUUAAUUCAAUUGAAGCCUUAGGUUUGGAACAAACUAAGAACUGAUUCCUCUUCAGCUUUCCAGGACCUUUGGUGGUAUUUUUCUGAUUUUGGAUUCUACUUUAUGUACAGUUUGCAGAAGCAUAAUGAGAUAUUAGAGGAAUUUUGCACUUGUAUGGGAGAAAAAGAUACUUCAUGUUUAUUCUCUUACUUUUAUAUUUGACCUUGUUCCUGUUUUAAAAGUAUGUUGUGAAGUGCUUUGACAGACCAGCACUUGCUUAUAGCCAUGCUAAUCAAAGGUCACGAUGGGCUGAAGUAGACAGCUAUUUAUGGCACCAAAUAAAAGACAAUAUUGGGACA